GGCUUCCAGAGACAGCAUCUCACCAUGAUGCCCGACUAGCCUUGAACUCCUGGCUUCAAGUGAUCCUCCCCAUUCGGCCUCCCAAAGCGCUGGGAUUAUAGGUGUGAGCCACCAUAACAGGCCCAAAAGUAACAUCUGAUCAAAAAUCUCAAGACAGGGUUUUCACCAUGUUGGCCAGGAUGGUCUCGAUCUCUUGACCUCGUGAUCCGCCUGCCUCGGCCUCCCAAAGUGCUGGGAUUACAGGCACGAGCCACCGCGCCCAGCCGACGACAACUAUUUUCUUAACGGUCUCACUCUGUUGCCCAGACAAGAGUACAGUGGAGUGAUCUCAGCUCACUGCAGCCUCGACCUCCCAGGCUCAAACGAUCCCCCCAUCUCAGCCUCCCAAGUAGCUGGGACUGCAGGGCUGCAUGCCUUCUGCCUGUACAGAACAACAUACGUACCUAGAAACAACAGCAUGAAAUGUGUUAGAAGAAUGGAAGAACGUAGACAGCUACUGACAACUCUAAAACAUGAGCACUAGCACAAUUCUUUAUCAUGACCCAUGACAAAAAGGUGGUUCUAUGCGACCAAAUGUAAACCUAAUCUUGAAAACUCUUACUGUCUCAGCAGGUACUGCCCUACGUCCUACUGUAGAAGAUGAGGAAAACAGCCAGGCAUGGUGAUGCAUGCCUGUAGUCCCAGCUACUCGGGAGGCUGAGGUA
rnacentral:lncRNA from 1 species